GAUGAACGCUAGCGGCAGGCUUAACACAUGCAAGUCGAGGGGUAUAGUUCUUCGGAACUAGAGACCGGCGCACGGGUGCGUAACGCGUAUGCAAUCUACCUUUUGCAGAGGGAUAGCCCAGAGAAAUUUGGAUUAAUACCUCAUAGUAUGUGAGAAUGGCAUCAUUUUCACAUUAAAGUCACAACGGCAAAAGAUGAGCAUGCGUCCCAUUAGCUAGUUGGUAAGGUAACGGCUUACCAAGGAAACGAUGGGUAGGGGUCCUGAGAGGGAGAUCCCCCACACUGGAACAGAGACACGAGCCAGACUCCUACGGGAGGCAGCAGUGAGGAAUAUUGGACAAUGGGCGCAAGCCUGAUCCAGCCAUGCCGCGUGCAGGAUGACGGUCCUAUGGAUUGUAAACUGCUUUUGUACAGGAAGAAACACUGGUUCGUGAACCAGCUUGACGGUACUGUAAGAAUAAGGAUCGGCUAACUCCGUGCCAGCCGCCGCCGUAAUAC
rnacentral:rRNA from 1 species